GGGUCAGCGACUUAUAUUCUGUAGCAAGGUUAACCGUAUAGGGGAGCCGGAGGGAAACCGAGUCUUAACCGGGCGUUAAGUUGCAGGGUAUAGACCCGAAACCCGGUGAUCUAGCCAUGGGCAGGUUGAAGGUUGGGUAACACUAACUGGAGGACCGAACCGACUAAUGUUGAAAAAUUAGCGGAUGACCUGUGGCUGGGGGUGAAAGGCCAAUCAAACCGGGAGAUAGCUGGUUCUCCCCGAAAGCUAUUUAGGUAGCGCCUCGUGAAUUCAUCUCCGGGGGUAGAGCACUGUUUCGGCUAGGGGGCCAUCCCGGCUUACCAACCCGAUGCAAACUGCGAAUACCGGAGAAUGUUAUCACGGGAGACACACGGCGGGUGCUAACGUCCGUCGUGAAGAGGGAAACAACCCAGACCGCCAGCUAAGGUCCCAAAGUCAUGGUUAAGUGGGAAACGAUGUGGGAAGGCCCAGACAGCCAGGAUGUUGGCUUAGAAGCAGCCAUCAUUUAAAGAAAGCGUAAUAGCUCACUGGUCGAGUCGGCCUGCGCGGAAGAUGUAACGGGGCUAAACCAUGCACCGAAGCUGCGGCAGCGA
rnacentral:rRNA from 2 species